rnacentral:rRNA from 1 species
GAAACGACUCUCGGCAACGGAUAUCUCGGCUCUUGCAUCGAUGAAGAACGUAGCGAAAUGCAUACUUAGUGUGAAUUGCAGAAUCCCGUGAAUCAUCGAGUUUUUGAACGCAAUUUGCGCCCGAGGCCUCGGUCGAGGGCACGUCUGUCUGGGCGUCGCAU